UACGAAGGACCCGAGCGUUUAUCCGGAUUUAUUGGGUUUAAAGGGUGCGUAGGCGGAUUUAUAAGUCAGUGGUGAAAGCCUAUAGCUUAACUAUAGAAUUGCCAUUGAUACUGUAGGUCUUGAGUACAGUUGAGGUGGGCGGAAUGUGCAGUGUAGCGGUGAAAUGCUUAGAUAUUGCACAGAACACCAAUUGCGAAGGCAGCUCGCUAAGCUGUAACUGACGCUGAGGCACGAAAGUGUGGGUAGCAAACAGGG
rnacentral:rRNA from 1 species